rnacentral:rRNA from 1 species
CGCAGCUAACGCANUAAGUUGACCGCCUGGGGGAGUACGGCCGCAAGGUUAAAACUCAAAUGAAUUGACGGGGGCCCGCACAAGCGGUGGAGCAUGUGGUUUAAUUCGACGCAACGCGAAGAACCUUACCUGGCCUUGACAUGCAGAGAACUUUCCAGAGAUGGAUUGGUGCCUUCGGGAACUCUGACACAGGUGCUGCAUGGCCGUCGUCAGCUCGUGUCGUGAGAUGUUGGGUUAAGUCCCGUAACGAGCGCAACCCCUAUCCCUAGUUGCUAGCAGUUCGGCUGAGAACUCUAGGGAGACUGCCGGUGACAAACCGGAGGAAGGUGGGGAUGACGUCAGGUCAUCAUGGCCCUUACGGCCAGGGCUACACACGUGCUACAAUGGUGCGUACAGAGGGCUGCAAACCCGCGAGGGGGAGCUAAUCUCACAAAACGCAUCGUAGUCCGGAUCGGAGUCUGCAACUCGACUCCGUGAAGUCGGAAUCGCUAGUAAUCGCGAAUCAGAAUGUCGCGGUGAAUACGUUCCCGGGCCUUGUACACACCGCCCGUCACACCAUGGGAGUGGAUUGCACCAGAAGUGGUUAGUCUAACCUUCGGGAGGA